rnacentral:rRNA from 1 species
AUUGAACGCUGGCGGCAUGCCUUACACAUGCAAGUCGAACGGUAACAGGCCUUCCGGUGCUGACGAGUGGCGCACGGGUGAGUAAUGCAUCGGAACGUGCCCAGAGGUGGGGGGUAACGCAGCGAAAGCUGUGCUAAUACCGCAUGUGAACUGAGGAUUAGAGCGGGGGACCGGGCAGCAAUGUUUGGCCUCGCGCCUUUGGAGCGGCCGAUGUCGGCUUAGGUAGUUGGUGGGGUAAAGGCCUACCACGGCGACGAUCUGUAGCUGGUCUGAGAGGGCGACCAGACAGACUGGCACUGAGACACGGCCCAGACUCCUACGGGAGGCAGCAGUGGGGAAUCUUGCACAAUGGGGGCAAGCCUGAUACAGCAAUGCCGCGGGCGGGAAGAAGGCCUUCGGGUUGUAAAGCGCUUUUGUACGGAACGAAAAGGAUCUGGCUAAUACCUGAGGCUGAUGACGGUACCGGAAGAAUAAGCACCGGCUAACUACGUG